GAUGAACGCUAGCGACAGGCUUAACACAUGCAAGUCGAGGGGCAGCAUGGUCUUAGCUUGCUAAGGCCGAUGGCGACCGGCGCACGGGUGAGUAACACGUAUCCAACCUGCCGUCUACGCUUGGACAGCCUUCUGAAAGGAAGAUUAAAACAAAAUGGCAUCAUGAGUCCGCAUGUUCAAAUGAUUAAAGGUAUUCCGGUAGACGAUGGGGAUGCGUUCCAUUUGUUAGUGGGGGGGGUAACGGCCCACCUAGUCUUCGAUGGAGAGGGGUGCGGAGAGGAAGGUCCCCCGCAUUGGAACUGAGACACGGACCAAACUCCUACGGGAGGCAGCAGUAUGGUAGACUAGGCAAGGGGGGCUGGCCUGAACCAGCCAAGUAGCGUGAAGAAUGCCUGGGCUAUGGGUUGUAAUCUUCUUUUAUAAAGGAAUAAAGUCGGGUAUGUAUACCGGUUUGCAGGUACUUAAUGAAUAAGGACCGGCUAACUCCGUG
rnacentral:rRNA from 1 species